UGCGUAGACGGUUAUGUAAGUCGGGUGUGAAAGCCCCGGGCUCAACCUGGGAAUGCUAUUCGAGACUGCAUAGCUAGGGUGCGGAAGAGGGAAGCGGAAUUUCAGGUGUAGCGGUGAAAUGCGUAGAUAUCUGAAGGAACACCAGUGGCGAAAGCGGCUUCCUGGUCCAGUACCGACGUUCAGGCACGAAAGCGUGGGGAAGCAAACA
rnacentral:rRNA from 1 species